GAGCGCAAAACUGAGUCAUUUAUAAAAUUUUAAUGGUGGUGUACGGUUCGUUCAGCUCGCAUCGCGUCGCAACGUCUCGUUUUGUUGGUCAGUGAAAAAUACAGAAAAUCCAGAAAAUAAAGAAAGGCCCCAAUAUAUAAUUAUAAAAUAUUAUGUAUAGCAAUUGUUGUCUCGCGACGUGCAUUACACAGUGACAAAAUACAAGCAACAAAAGAAACAACAACAAGAAACGAAGCAAAUAAAAAAGCGCGUCGCGUCUAAAAUUGCAAAUUGCAAUAAAGUCUGAAACGUGAAGAAGAAGAAGAGGAAGAGCAGUGUGUAUAAACAGCAAUUGAAAGAAGCGGCAAAAACACAAUUCACAAUAUCGAAAAAAAAAACAAAAACAAAAAAAUAAACAACAACAAGAAAACAUACACAACAACUACAACUACAAUUGAGAAAAAAACGUGAGCACAAUUUAUUUUCCCCAUUUUGACUGGCCAACAAUUUUUUAAACGAGCUUUGUUGUCUGCCGCGUACGUGUUCUAUGUAUUGAUUUGUUCUUUACCAAUUUAACAGGCUCAAAUAAGUUUUGUGUAAGUUUAAACACAUUUUGUUAUUAAUGUGUUGGCCAUAAAACUAUCUUUACGACCUGGGUGGGUGAGUAGAUUUCCAGGUAGCAAUAUUUAAAUGAACUAGCUGCUGUCGAACAGAUGUUUUAGCGAUUAAACAUUCAUCAAUCUACUCGAUUUGCAUAAAGUUUUCAACAAAUCGUUUAGUAAGUUAAUCUAUGAGAAUUAUACGAAAGAAUCUUUUACAUGAACAGAUCAUUACAAUAAAGAUCUAGUGGAAUUUCAUGCUGUGUGGCAGACAAAGAGAGAUCGACCUCAUUGAAGCUAAUUAUGUUGGUCAAUCCAUCAGAUUGGUUGAAUAUAUCAGAGGAAAUUAGCGUAGCGAGAAACGAAUUGAAAAUUACAUUACAGAAUUAUGAAAUUCUAUUCUGUCAAGUAUUUUUGCUUAAAAAAUGUUAGAGUAAAGUUCGACACAAUUAGUUCUGUUCAAUGCUAAAUAUAAACAUGACUUUUGGUAUAACUCUCCUACUUUGGUAGGCUGUUUUCCGGUUCAGUGAACUUCUGUUUCUCUCAAUUUUAGGCUAUUCUGUAAGUUGGUCAAAUUGACCAACAAUCGACCCAAAAAAUUAUAACUAGUUACUGUUACUACUAACAAUUUCCGUUUAGCGCGUUUGAACCACUUAAAAACUGAGCUGCUGUCAAGGAAGUUGAUUAUUUUCUACUCGCUAACAGUUCGUUAUGCUCCUCUCUGCUCUCUUCAGUUCUCUAUUAUAUUCUGCUUUGAUUUUUUAUUUUUCGUUUUCUUGUUUGGUCUUCGAUGUGGUCUGCUAUUUAAAAGCAUAUAAAUUUUAUUUCUCGCAAAUAAAUAUCAUGAAACGCUGACAGCCUUGGAGUAGUGAAAAUUCAUCUUCUGGCUUUCUUUUCUGCACUGGGCUCAGUGUGGCCAAAGCACAAUAGGAAAAACUAGUUUUUCCCUAUAUAUAGAAGUGGUUGCUGCAACUCUCAGUGCACCACAUGCUUGGGAUAAAAACUUUUCUUAGCCUGAGCUGCGGUUUCAGCAACAGAAGCAGCAGCAGCUGCAGCAAACUCUUGUAUCAUGUCAGUCAUUCAGUCUCUGGUCCAUUCGUUUGGCUCUGUCACUCUGUCUGUCUGUCUGUCUGUCUUUCUGUCUAAAAGUUUUCCAUCAUAAUCUACUUAACUUUUGCUGCAAUCAAUUGCAGCCUUCUCUAUCUGUGUAUGUGUCGCCUCAUUGCAUUUUCUACAGCCUCUUCAGCCUCUCGGUCUCUACACUCACCCAUAUUUGUGCAAUUUCUUUGUAUAGAUACAAUAACCGAGAGAUAGUCACUAUUUCCAGUAUUGCGUUAAUAGAAAAGUUGUCAAUGUUUUUCACUGGAUGCGUUGCGGAUGCUGUUGCUGCUUCUUCUUCUGCUUCUGCUGCUGUUGCUGCACUGUAUAUGAGAACGGACGUAUCUGCGACUGGUUCUUAUCUUAUCGCAGAGCAGGGGGUAACAUUUUGCAACAUGGCGUUUGCAUAGAUGUGCGUCUGUCCCAUUCUGUCCACAUCUCCUGCCUGCCUGCCUGCCUGUCAAGUUCUUCCACUGUCAAUCAGCUACGGCCACAACAUCUAGUGCAAGUUAAGCUUGUCUAUUUUCAUACACUUACACACAUGCAGACAAUCACUGCAAUACAGAUACAAUAUCUUAUAAAUGCAUUGAAGCGAAAUUGCAACUACCUCACAAAUAUCUCUCUCUUACUCUCUCUCUCUCUCUCUCUCUCUCUCUCUCUCUUUUCAUCGCUCUUUCUUUGAAUCUUGCUCUCAACGAGUUCAUUUUCAUCCCAUGUCGAAGGUUAUUUACCCUAG